rnacentral:rRNA from 1 species
UUUAUGGAGAGUUUGAUCCUGGCUCAGGAUGAACGCUGGCGGCGUGCCUAAUACAUGCAAGUCGAGCGAACAGAUAAGGAGCUUGCUCCUUUGACGUUAGCGGCGGACGGGUGAGUAACACGUGGAUAACCUACCUAUAAGACUGGGAUAACUUCGGGAAACCGGAGCUAAUACCGGAUAACAUAUUGAACCGCAUGGUUCAAUAGUGAAAGGCGGCUUUGCUGUCACUUAUAGAUGGAUCCGCGCCGUAUUAGCUAGUUGGUAAGGUAACGGCUUACCAAGGCAACGAUACGUAGCCGACCUGAGAGGGUGAUCGGCCACACUGGAACUGAGACACGGUCCAGACUCCUACGGGAGGCAGCAGUAGGGAAUCUUCCGCAAUGGGCGAAAGCCUGACGGAGCAACGCCGCGUGAGUGAUGAAGGUCUUCGGAUCGUAAAACUCUGUUAUCAGGGAAGAACAAAUGUGUAAGUAACUGUGCACAUCUUGACGGUACCUGAUCAGAAAGCCACGGCUAACUACGUGCCAGCAGCCGCGGUAAUACGUAGGUGGCAAGCGUU